rnacentral:lncRNA from 1 species
AUCAGAAGAAUUUUUAUUUUAUAAGUUGAUAAUUGGUCAUAUCCAUUUAUUAUUUUAAUAAUAAUUGUGACUAAGCCACAAACUUCGCUUAUUCCUAACUAAAAUAGUAAAUAGAGAUAAUAACAAUAGGAUUUGUAAAACUAAAGUAAUUCUUUUUGCGUUUUUGCUAAUGUAUGCGUUUAUAAACAGGAUGGUAGACCACACACUAUAAUAUGUAGUACCAACUAAUGAAUACACAGAAUAUUAUAGUAGAUUUGCUAAACUCAGUCUCAGUACUAAUUACUGUAAUUUUGGCAAAAUUGGCCAAAAACAAAAAAAAUUACCUACUAAAAUCACUAGCCAGUUGUGUCUGAGUUUGGGGAACUGACUAUACUAAUAAACAAUUUCUAAGCUGUUUUAUAAUAUUUUGUGAGUUCAUUAAUCAUAUUUUUUAUUUAAAACUAAAAUUUGUUAAUAAUGCUUGGUAAUGCAUAUAUUUUGUAUUUUUAGCUUUCCAGAAGAUCCUGCGAAGAAGACAAGAAAGUAUAGAUUAGAUUUGUUAAUAGAGGAGUAUGUUCAAAACACUUUUUAGAAAAGAUAUUGACAGAACUUCACUUUCAUCUGUUCGUUUCCAAUAGCUUAUGUCACACAGAAUCAGCUGAGAGAAGUGGUCUACCAAAAACCAGAAAGGAAACGGAAUAUGUGGCUACGAAAAGCAAAAGAAAGGUUUACAAA